rnacentral:tmRNA from 1 species
GGGGUUGUACUGGUUUCGACGGGGUUUUUGAAAUUAUGGAAGCCAUUCGUGGACUAGGACCACGCUAAAACUUAGAAAAUAAAUAUAAACGCUAACGAAAAUUUAGCUUACGCUGCCUAGUUGCAGCUGUCAGCCUUAAGUCACCUGCUGCUUAAGAGUCUGGCAUCGACCUUGCAGGGCACUUCUUCAUCAAAGCUUUGAGAUGUUGAAAGAAUUAUGAAGCUACUGAUUGUACAGUUUUGUCAAUGAAUCUGUAUAUGAGGGAAAUCUGAAUCAUUGACUGUAAUGGGAGAUGCCAUAAUGAAUGGAAUUUCGGACAGGGGUUCGAUUCCCCUCAGCUCCA